rnacentral:rRNA from 1 species
UGCAAGUCGAACGAGAAGGUUCUAUUCUUCGGAAAAGAACUGGAAAGUGGCGAACGGGUGAGUAACGCGUUGGUGACCUGCCCCAAAGAGAGGGACAACAGAACGAAAGAUCUGCUAAUACCUCAUGUGGUCUAAGUAGUUAGAGAGCUUAGAUUAAAGGAUUUAUCCGCUUUGGGAGGGGCCUGCGUCCCAUCAGCUAGUUGGUAAGGUAACGGCUUACCAAGGCGAUGACGGGUAGGGGACCUGAGAGGGUGGUCCCCCACAAUGGAACUGAAACACGGUCCAUACACCUACGGGUGGCAGCAGUAGGGAAUAUUGCACAAUGGGCGAAAGCCUGAUGCAGCAACACCGCGUGUGUGAUGAAGGCCUUCGGGUCGUAAAGCACUUUUACGAGGGAAGAGGAAGGACUGUACCUCGUGAAUAAGGGUCGGCUAACUACGUGCCAGCAGCCGCGGUAACACGUAGGACCCGAGCGUUAUCCGGAUUUACUGGGCGUAAAGCGCGUGCAGGUGGUUUAGUAAGUUAGAUGUUAAAGCUCCGGGCUUAACCCGGAGAGGUCGUUUAAAACUGCUAGACUUGAGGACGGUAGAGGAAGGUAGAAUUCCGUGUGUAGUGGUGAAAUGCGUAGAUAUACGGAGGAAUACCAGUGGCGAAGGCGGCCUUCUGGCCCGCUCCUGACACUCAGACGCGAAAGCUAGGGUAGCGAACGGGAUUAGAAACCCCGGUAGUCCUAGCCGUAAACGAUGCAUACUUGGCGUUGGUGUGGUAAAACACAUCAGUGCCGAAGCUAACGCGA